AGCUCUAGGUGGUUGAAAAGAUCUAGAGUAAGACCUGCCCAAUGAAUUAUUAAAUGGCUGCGGUAUCCUGACCGUACAAAGGUAGCAUAAUCAGUUGCCAUCUAAUUAGUGGCUGGAAUGAAUGGUUUAACAUUGGUUUAGCUGUCUCUUAUCUAUUUAGUAGAAUUUUAUUUAUUAAGUGCAGAAGCUUUAAUACUAAAAAAAGACGAGAAGACCCCGAUGAGCUUAAAAAGUUUCUUUUUUUGGUUGGGGCGACUCUGGGGUGGGUCAAACCCCCAGAAAAAUUAAUAAAGAUCCACUUUUUGUGAGAAAUAAGAGGAGAAAAGCUACCACGGGGAUAACAGCAUUAUUUUUUCUAAGAGACCUUAUUGAAGAAAAAUUUAUGACCUCGAUGUUGGACUAGGGUACUUGAAAGUGCAGCAGUUUAAAAGUGAGUCGUGCAUC
rnacentral:rRNA from 1 species